GGGGCUGUAAGGGCUUUGACGGGGAGAUGUGAGGCGUAAGUUGCGAGCCGAGGAUGUCAUCUCAACCUCGUAAAAUAUUGGUGGCAAAACUUUAAAUGCAGAUUCUUAUGAAUCGCUGUGUGCCAGAGUGGAUUGGAAAUUUGCCGAGAAAUUGGUAAAUGCUUUCGUCCCUCAGCACGCACUUGCCUCUUAAUUUAAGCAGGCAGCACUAGCCGGUCUUGCCGAUAGGGCCGGGGCCUGGUGUUAUUUUAUCGGAUACCAUAUCGAUCAUUCCCUUCGGUCGGUUUGGAAAAACAAAGAUAGGGGUAGCCUUUGGAAGUCCUGGCUUCGGGACAACCCAAAGGUGAAAUUUUAACAGAAGCUACGCUCGUAGUGACUUGCGCGGCGCCCUUUCCGGACGCGGGUUCGACUCCCGCCAGCUCCAUUC
rnacentral:tmRNA from 1 species